rnacentral:lncRNA from 1 species
GUAUUGUAUUCCCCAAAAGUUUUGCUAAAUACUUCACUCACUACGUAUUUUACUUAUAUGUUGAGUUUCCCUUCCUAGGUGUUCACACAUGAAGCUAAGUAAAGAAGGUUAAGAUAAGUCAUUAUGUGGGAAAGCUGAUCAAGUGAUCUGUUUUUGGAUAUUUCAAAGUUAUUAGCAUUUAAGAGGGUUGCAUCCCAGUUGUGUGUGAGGGAUAAGUCUUUGUCCUAAAAUAGGUUGCUAGGCGAUCAAGAAGGAAGAGUAGAAAGGAGUAAUUAUACUCCUAAAUAUCUAGAGGGUGGAGGACGACAUCCCAGUUUGAUAAGAGUCAGGCGAGGUGUUCAAAGCCUAUGAUUUACCUUUGUACUAUGCGAGAAAUGAAAAUGUAAUUUUAAAGCAUUUGAUCGAGUAAUAAAAGUGAGAUAUUUUCUA